rnacentral:rRNA from 1 species
AACGAACGCUGGCGGCAGGCUUAACACAUGCAAGUCGAACGCCCCGCAAGGGGAGUGGCAGACGGGUGAGUAACGCGUGGGAACGUGCCCUUCGCUUCGGAAUAGCCCCGGGAAACUGGGAGUAAUACCGGAUACGCCGUAUUGGGAAAGAUUUAUCGGCGAAGGAUCGGCCCGCGUUGGAUUAGCUAGUUGGAGGUGUAAUGGACCCCCAAGGCUACGAUCCAUACCUGGUCUGAGAGGAUGAUCAGCCACACUGGGACUGAGACACGGCCCAGACUCCUACGGGAGGCAGCAGUGGGGAAUCUUGGACAAUGGGCGCAAGCUUGAUCCAGCCAUGCCGCGUGAGUGAAGAAGGCCUUAGGGUUGUAAAGCUCUUUCGCCGGAGAAGAUAAUGACGGUAUCCGGAGAAGAAGCCCCGGCUAACUUCGUGCCAGCCGCCGCUGUAAUAC